GCAAAUUGCAACGUGGUAUUAGAUGUCCUUCCUAGUUUGUUGGAGAAAGAUUGCUCUAUUUUGAAUUUUCCGUAAAGGACUUCAGGCACACCGUCUUUAAGACUGAGCUCCAAGGUCCAGCGUCUUCCAGAAUAGGAUUGUAUGUGGAUCACAGUACAGGAACUCUGUCCUUCAUCCUGUCAACAUCUCUGAGG